rnacentral:rRNA from 1 species
GAUGAACGCUGGCGGCGUGCUUAACACAUGCAAGUCGAACGGACAGGCGCUGCUCUUGUGGGGUGCACGUGUGCCGCACGGGUGAGUAACACGCGAGUAUCCUGUCCCUGUAAUUCGGAUAACUUUAGGAAACUGGGGAUCUAACAGGAUAGGAUAUCUUGCUGCAUGGUGGGGGUUGGUAAGUUUCGGCGUUUGGGGCAGGUCUCGCGGCUUCUCAGCUUGUUGGGGGGGUAGUGGCUUACCAAGGCUUUGACGGGUAGCCGGCCUGAGAGGGUGACCGGCCACAUUGGGACUGAGGUACGGCCCAGACUGCGACGGGAGGCAGCAGUGGGGAAUAUUGCACAAUGGGCGGAAGCCUGAUGCAGCAACGCCGCGUGCGGGAAGACUGCCUUCGGGUUGUAAACCGCUUUCGCCUGUGACGAAGCGUGAGUGACGGUAAUGGGUAAAGAAGCACCGGCUAACUACGUG